rnacentral:rRNA from 1 species
CCCUUAGAUGUUCUGGGCAGCACGCGCGCUACAAUGGUCUUCGCAAACGGAUGCAUUCUCGAAGGAGAAUGCUAAUCUUGGAAUCUAUGCCUUGGUCGGGACAGUUGCUUGCAAUUUUUCGACUCGAACCAGGAAUUCCUUGUAAUCGUGAUUCAUCACAUCACGAUGAAUACGUCCCUGCCCUUUGUACACACCGCCCGUCGCUCCUACCGAUCGAAGAGUUAGGUGAAUUGUUUUGAUCGAUAAGAUUUGACUAUGGUCAACUCUCGUUGUGAAAUUCUGUGAAUCUGACUGUUUAGAGGAAGGAAAAGUCGUAACA